rnacentral:rRNA from 1 species
CGAACGGGUGAGUAAUGCGUCGGAAUGUACCGUGUAAUGGGGGAUAGCUCGGCGAAAGCCGGAUUAAUACCGCAUACGCCCUGAGGGGGGAAAGUGGGGGACCGUAAGGCCUCACGUUAUACGAGCAGCCGACGUCUGAUUAGCUAGUUGGUGAGGUAAGAGCUCACCAAGGCGACGAUCAGUAGCGGGUCUGAGAGGAUGAUCCGCCACACUGGGACUGAGACACGGCCCAGACUCCUACGGGAGGCAGCAGUGGGGAAUUUUGGACAAUGGGCGCAAGCCUGAUCCAGCCAUGCCGCGUGUCUGAAGAAGGCCUUCGGGUUGUAAAGGACUUUUGUUCGGGAGGAAAUCCCGCUGGUUAAUACCUGGCGGGGAUGACAGUAC